rnacentral:rRNA from 1 species
UUUAUGGAGAGUUUGAUCCUGGCUCAGAGUGAACGCUGGCGGCGUGCCUAAUACAUGCAAGUCGAACGAUGAAGCUUCUAGCUUGCUAGAAUGCUGAUUAGUGGCGCACGGGUGAGUAACGCAUAGGUUAUGUGCCUCUUAGUUUGGGAUAGCCAUUGGAAACGAUGAUUAAUACCAGAUACUCCCUACGGGGGAAAGAUUUAUCGCUAAGAGAUCAGCCUAUGUCCUAUCAGCUUGUUGGUAAGGUAAUGGCUUACCAAGGCUAUGACGGGUAUCCGGCCUGAGAGGGUGAACGGACACACUGGAACUGAGACACGGUCCAGACUCCUACGGGAGGCAGCAGUAGGGAAUAUUGCUCAAUGGGGGAAACCCUGAAGCAGCAACGCCGCGUGGAGGAUGAAGGUUUUAGGAUUGUAAACUCCUUUUGUUAGAGAAGAUAAUGACGGUAUCUAACGAAUAAGCACCGGCUAACUCCGUGCCAGCAGCCGCGGUAAUACGGAGGGUGCAAGCGUUACUCGGAAUCACUGGGCGUAAAGAGCGCGUAGGCGGGAUAGUCAGUCAGGUGUGAAAUCCUAUGGCUUAACCAUAGAACUGCAUUUGAAACUACUAUUCUAGAGUGUGGGAGAGGUAGGUGGAAUUCUUGGUGUAGGGGUAAAAUCCGUAGAGAUCAAGAGGAAUACUCAUUGCGAAGGCGACCUGCUGGAACAUUACUGACGCUGAUUGUGCGAAAGCGUGGGGAGCAAACAGGAUUAGAUACCCUGGUAGUCCACGCCCUAAACGAUGGAUGCUAGUUGUUGGAGGGCUUAGUCUCUCCAGUAAUGCAGCUAACGCAUUAAGCAUCCCGCCUGGGGAGUACGGUCGCAAGAUUAAAACUCAAAGGAAUAGACGGGGACCCGCACAAGCGGUGGAGCAUGUGGUUUAAUUCGAAGAUACACGAAGAACCUUACCUAGGCUUGACAUUGAGAGAAUCCGCUAGAAAUAGUGGAGUGUCUGGCUUGCCAGACCUUGAAAACAGGUGCUGCACGGCUGUCGUCAGCUCGUGUCGUGAGAUGUUGGGUUAAGUCCCGCAACGAGCGCAACCCCCUUUCUUAGUUGCUAACAGGUUAUGCUGAGAACUCUAAGGAUACUGCCUCCGUAAGGAGGAGGAAGGUGGGGACGACGUCAAGUCAUCAUGGCCCUUACGCCUAGGGCUACACACGUGCUACAAUGGGGUGCACAAAGAGAAGCAAUACUGCGAAGUGGAGCCAAUCUUCAAAACACCUCUCAGUUCGGAUUGUAGGCUGCAACUCGCCUGCAUGAAGCUGGAAUCGCUAGUAAUCGCAAAUCAGCCAUGUUGCGGUGAAUACGUUCCCGGGUCUUGUACUCACCGCCCGUCACACCAUGGGAGUUGUGUUUGCCUUAAGUCAGGAUGCUAAAUUGGCUACUGCCCACGGCACACACAGCGACUGGGGUGAAGUCGUAACAAGGUAACCGUAGGUGAACCUGCGGUUGGAUCACCUCCUUUCUA